AGUGAACGCUGGCGGUAGGCCUAACACAUGCAAGUCGAACGGCAGCACAUUAAGAGCUUGCUCUUACGGGUGUCGAGUUGCGGACGGGUGAGGAAUACAUCGGAAUCUACUUUUUCGUGGGUUAUAACGUAGGGAAACUUCCGCUAAUUCCGCAUACCACCUACGGUUGAAAUCAGGAGCUCUUCGGACCUUGCGCGAUUGAAUGAGCCGGUGUCGGAUUAGCUAGUUGGCGGGGUAAAGGCCCACCAAGCCGACGAUCCGUAGCUGGGCUGAGAGGAUGAUCAGCCACACUGGAACUGUGACGAGGCACAGACUACAACGGGAGGCAGCGGUGGGGAAAAUUGGACAAGGGGAUGAAGGCAGAUCCAACCAAACCGCGUAGGGGAAAAAGGGAUUCGGGUAGUAAAUGUAAUUUGUUGGGAAAGAAAGACAAAAGGUUAAUAGCGCGCUGUGCUGACGGUACCAAAAGAAUAAGCACCGGCUAACUUCGUG
rnacentral:rRNA from 1 species